UAAUGUCAAAAGGCACACAGUUCAGUCAGCAGUCUUAUAAAGUAAGUGAGUCAUUCCCAUUCAAGUGGAUAAGCAAGAAGUGGAAAGAAGGGUUCAAUGUAACCUCCAUGGCAACUGCUGGAAGUAGGUGGGCGGUUGUUAUGUCUCGUAAUUCAGGUGUCAGUAACCAGGUAGUGGAGCUUGAUUUUCUUUAUCCAAGUGAAGGCAUUCAUAAACGAUGGGACAAUGGUUAUCGUAUUACAGCAACAGCUGCUACAUUAGAUCAAGCUGCUCUUAUCCUGAGUGUGCCUCGACGAAGGCCUGGCGAUGAGACUCAGGAGACAUUGAGAACAUCUCAGUUUCCAAGCACACAUGUUAAGGAAAAAUGG
rnacentral:misc_RNA from 1 species